rnacentral:rRNA from 1 species
UNUGCUGUGAAAGGCCGGGGCUUAACCCCGUGUAUUGCAGUGGNUACGGGCAGACUAGAGUGCAGUAGGGGAGACUGGAAUUCCUGGUGUAGCGGUGGAAUGCGCAGAUAUCAGGAGGAACACCGAUGGCGAAGGCAGGUCUCUGGGCUGUAACUGACGCUGAGAAGCGAAAGCAUGGGGAGCGAACAGGAUUAGAUACCCAGGUAGUCCAUGCCGUAAACGUUGGGCACUAGGUGUGGGGGACAUUCCACGUUUUCCGCGUCGUAGCUAACGCAUUAAGUGCCCCGCCUGGGGAGUACGGCCGCAAGGCUAAAACUCAAAGAAAUUGACGGGGGCCCGCACAAGCGGCGGAGCAUGCGGAUUAAUUCGAUGCAACGCGAAGAACCUUACCAAGGCUUGACAUAUACUGGACCGCAUCAGAGAUAGUGUUUCCCUUCGGGGCUGGUAUACAGGUGGUGCAUGGUUGUCGUCAGCUCGUGUCGUGAGAUGUUGGGUUAAGUCCCGCAACGAGCGCAACCCUCGUUCUAUGUUGCCAGCACGUAAUGGUGGGGACUCAUAGGAGACUGCCGGGGUCAACUCGGAGGAAGGUGGGGAUGACGUCAAAUCAUCAUGCCCCUUAUGUCUUGGGCUUCACGCAUGCUACAAUGGCCGGUACAGAGGAUUGCGAUACUGUGAGGUGGAGCUAAUCCCUAAAAGCCGGUCUCAGUUCGGAUUGGGGUCUGCAACUCGACCCCAUGAAGACGGAGUCGCUAGUAAUCGCAGAUCAGCAACGCUGCGGUGAAUACGUUCCCGGGCCUUGUACACACCGCCCGUCAAGUCACGAAAGUUGGUAACACCCAAAGCCGGUGGC